GUGGUGGUGGAGCUAAUGACAUGUGUGCAGAAACUCUUCUGAAUGGGACUUCCCUGAUCCUGUUUUUACCUGAUCUUCAUGCUCAAUAGAAAAAGCCUCAGCUUUGGAAUCAGCUUCCCAGUGAACACCGAGAGUUGAGUUUAGCAACUGUUUGGACUGGCCAUGUAACAGGGCCGUCCAGGUAGCAUGGCAUGGUACUGGAACACUAUGUCUUCUCUCUGACCUCUCGGAAUAUCUCUGUGAUUCAAUGUGUUGGCCCAUUGGAGGCCCUGGACUGGUUAAAACCUGGAGGUUUGAGAAACCCCUGAUCUUCUCCAUACUCUUCACAAGGGCAAUGGCUGGCCAAGAUUACAAAUUAGUGACUGUUGAGGCUGGAAUCUGUACCGAGGUCAUGGGAACCCCCUGCACUGCCCCUUCUAAUCACCCUCCUGCUUGGACCCUGGGAGUAUGACAAAGAGUCAGAUAAGACAACUGAGGCUGAAGAUCACACAACCAGUAAAUGGAACAGCCAGAAAUCAAAUGUUAUAUAUUGGCCCUGAAGUGGGGAUAAAGCAGCUAAAAGAAAGUGUACUUUACAUUAAAUUUUAAGGUAUCCAAAAGCAAAUCAAUAAGCCAUACUCUAGUUACAUUAAGAUAUUUUCACAAGUGCUAGGUUAAGUAAUAUAAAAUUACCAUUUUUGUAGGUCAAAAGUAAUGGAAUAUCAUGCUUGUAUAUGGUUUGAUCUAAUAUAUAUCAUUAUCAGGUUCUACUAAUACAGAGUUUUCUGCCUUUACUUAACCAUCACAAUAAACUAAGGACUUCCAAGCUAGUAAGAAUAAUGACACAGAUAAUAAUUAGAAAAGUAUUCAUAACAUUAUCAACAAA
rnacentral:lncRNA from 10 species